UACGUAGGGUGCGAGCGUUGUCCGGAAUUAUUGGGCGUAAAGAGCUUGUAGGCGGUUUGUCGCGUCUGCUGUGAAAAUCCGGGGCUCAACCCCGGACUUGCAGUGGGUACGGGCAGACUAGAGUGUGGCAGGGGAGACUGGAAUUCCUGGUGUAGCGGUGAAAUGCGCAGAUAUCAGGAGGAACACCGAUGGCGAAGGCAGGUCUCUGGGCAUUAACUGACGCUGAGGAGCGAAAGCAUGGGGAGCGAACAGG
rnacentral:rRNA from 1 species